GACGAACGCUGGCGGCGUGCCUAACACAUGCAAGUCGAACGGAGAUUAUAGCAAUGUAAUCUUAGUGGCGGACGGGUGAGUAACGCGUGGGCAACCUACCUCUAACCGGGGGAUAACACAGGGAAACUUGUGCUAAUACCGCAUAAGAUCAUAGGAGGACAUCCUCUAGUGAUCAAAGGAGAAAUCCAGUGAGAGAUGGGCCCGCGUCCGAUUAGCUAGUUGGCGGUGUAACGGACCACCAAGGCGACGAUCGGUAGCCGAACUGAGAGGUUGAUCGGCCACAUUGGGACUGAGACACGGCCCAGACUCCUACGGGAGGCAGCAGUGGGGAAUAUUGCGCAAUGGGGGAAACCCUGACGCAGCAACGCCGCGUGAAGGAUGAAGGUUUUCGGAUUGUAAACUUCUUUGAUGAGGGACGAAAGAAAUGACGGUACCUCAAAAACAAGCCACGGCUAACUACGUG
rnacentral:rRNA from 1 species